rnacentral:rRNA from 1 species
UAACUCCGGGAAACCGGGGCUAAUACCGGAUAACAUUUUGAACCGCAUGGUUCAAAAUUGAAAGGCGGCUUCCGCUGUCACUUAUGGAUGGACCCGCGUCACAUUAUCUAUUUGGUGAGGUAACGGCUCACCAGGGCAACGAUGCAUACCCGACCUGAGAGGGUGAUCGGCCACACUGGGACUGACACACGGCCCAGACUCCUACGGGAGGCAGCAAUAGGGAAUCUUCCGCAGUGGACAAAAGUCUGACAGAACAACCCCGCGUGAGUGAUGAAGGCUUUCAGGUCAUAAAACUCUGUUGUUAGGGAAAAACAAGUGCUACUUGAAUAAGCUGGCACCUUGACGGUACCUAACCAAAAAGCCACGGCUAACUACGUGCCAACACCCGCGGUAAUACAUAUGUGGCAAGCGUUAUCCAGAAUUAUUGGGCGUAAAGCGCGCGCACGUGGUUUCUUAACUCUGAUGUGAAAGCCCACGGCUCAACCGUGGAGGGUCAUUGGAAACUGGGACACUUGAGUGCAAAAGAAGAAAGUGGAAUUCCAUGUGUAGCGGUGAAAUGCAUAGAGAUAUGGAAGAACACCAGUGGCAAACGCGACUCUCUGGUCUGUAACUGACACUGAAGCGCGAAAGCGUGGGGAGCAAACAAGAUUAUAUACCCUGGUACUCCACGCCGUAAACGAUGAGUGCUAAGUGUUAGAGGGUUUCCGCC